rnacentral:misc_RNA from 1 species
GGUUCCCUCACUCUCUCAAAUUCACACUCUCACUCUUCUCUCCUCAAUUUCUCACCAAUUAACCUUAAUUUAUUUUCCAUUUCAGAGCCCAAAUUUUUUCCCUAUAUCGAUCUACUCCAAAAUCGCCGUAAGCCAUAGAUUUUUUUUUUCUCUGUAGAAUUUGUCUGGGGAAAAUGAAUUCUCAUUUUCUGCUGAAGAAUCGUUUAUUUCCCUAUUUUAUUUCCUCAUUUUCUUGAGCAUCCAAGGGAUUAGAUUAUCCAUCUGCUCCGGAGAAACCCGCAUGAUAAAGCUCGGGUAUCUGAGGCGUUUUCUGUAUUUCUCAUGGAGUCGAAUCCCGUGAUUUUUUAUAUCAGCUCUGAUGAGGAGCCGGCAUUUGAUGAGCCCAGAGGUGGCGACGAUGACCAUGAUUGGUUGACUGAACUCCUUGAGACCGUCGAUAAAGAAACCGCUGACUCCGAUGAGGUUCUUUUAGUGGGCGAGUAUAAUCCGCCGAAGCCCAAGUCAAAGUCUAAGUCAUGGAAACCGGUGAAAGAUGUUGACGAUGAUGAUUGUAUGGUUUUGGAUGGCGACCCAGAUAAGCCAGUGGAUGUCGUUGAUGAUGCGGCCAGCGAUGGCGAUGUUCUUGUCGUUGGACAAAAGGGACAGGUGUGUAUGUGCCUAUUUGUGUUUGGUUGGUCUUUAUUUCAAGUAACUUAGCAUGAGACUAUAAAGCUUGUUUGCAUGGAUUUUUCUAUGUUUUGCUGAGACGUGUUUCAGAAUGUUAUUUAGGGUAUCUGUCUUCCUCUUUAUGUUACCUCACAUGUUUAUAUUAGUUGGUAUGGCUAGCUCAGGAAGUGUAUGUUAGAGCUCUUUGUUUAGAUGUUCAGCUUAAUUCUUGUUGAUUUCAGUUACUUGAUGCUGUCCCCUUCCAUGAUAUUUGGUAAUGUGAUCAAUUGGGUGUCCUGCCAAGAAGAUUUGUUUAUUACCUGAAGCUCUUGUUCUUCCUCUUUUGAGUACCACUUCUUGCUCAUUUUUAUCUAGGAGAACCAAUUCAAGAGGAUUUUUUUUUAUUUGCCUGAACUUUUUUAAAUGCAACAUUAAUAUGUGUUCUUAUGUGGUGCAUCCAGAUAUCAAGGAUGAUAUUUGGCUAAACCUUCAAUUUCCAUGGUUUGCUGGGUACUUUUAGAUCCGGCUCCUUUGCAACGAUGUUGGUAUAUGGUAUGAUUUGCAGUUGCACAGUUCAAUUCAAUUAUUUGUGAAGUGCUACUUGUUAUAGGUUUGUUGUUUUGUCAAUUUGCUUGGAUUUUCUGCAGUGACUAGGCAAGCGAACCUGUUUAAGUGGAAUUGGUAGCAUUGUUCAGUUUGGAUGACAAACUGGAAGGACAAAUCCUUGAAAUCUAGACCAUAUGGCUAGUGAAAAAGUGGAGCAAUUUUUCUUUUCUGUUUUCAAGAGUUGCAUCAUCUGUCCUUUUUUAUUAUUUUAAUAUCAAAAGAGGAAUAAGAAGAUACCAAUUAGCAAUAGUUCAUGUUGUGAUAUGCUUAAAGUAUUGGAACUUGCCAUGUGGGUUGUGCUGGUGAUACAUUGAUCUUGGCCAGCCACUGGAGUUACUGCAUAUCAAUGCUUUGCUUUAUAAUAAUUGAUGCUAAACAUUUCUCAUUUCCCUCGUCAAAGCUGGUAAUCUUUUGGCCUGAUUUUACUCUUGGUUCCUCUUGUUUUCUUCUUCCUUUCUUUGUUUCUGUUGUUUGGGAUUGAAAGAUCUAGCAAUUAUGUUUCUGAUGCUUAUUCUAUUUUUAUUUUUAUUUUGGUUGCAGAUUGCAUGCAGAGACUAUCCUCAUCCACGGCAUCUUUGUGCUAAAUUUCCUUUCAGUUCAACCCCACAUGAAAGACACUGUGAUUUGGUAAUAUCAGUUGUUUGAAUUUGGGUCCUUUAAAGAUACAACAUUUGCUCUUUACAAUCUAAUGGUUAUUAUUGUCCUACUCUGAUUUCCAUCUUCCUGAAUUGCAGUGCCACUGCUAUGUCUGUGACUCAAUUGCACCAUGUGUGCACUGGGGUACAGGUGUCUCCAAUGUUGACCAUUGUCAUGCCACUGAUAAACAGGAGAUAUGGAAAAAUCAGCGGGUAAUUUUCCGGCUAGGGAAAAAUGCAUCAGUACCAGUUUUGAAACUUCCUAGUGCUCAGCUUCCUGUGGCAGUACCCCAACUUAACCAAGUUGCACCCCUUGAUAUUAUACAAUUGCCACCCAACUUAGUGACACAAAAUCAGCUCUCCAGGCCUACAGCAAUUCGUGCUUGCUCUUCUGUGAGGUCGAGUGUUCCAAAUAUUAUAAGCCAGAGUAGAAACAGACAGCCAGGGUGUGCUCAGGGUAGAAAUAGACUUGUGCCUCGUUCUGUUUCACAGAAAGCAGUCAGUAUACAUAAUACUGCCAUUCCACAAGAUAGAGGCCAACAAUUUGUCUCCUCUGAUACAAUGUUUAAAAGGCCAGGAAUCAUCAGGGGUGCUUUUGCGGUGAACCAAUCUAUGUAUGGCGCUGUGAACAACAUGAAUUGUGCUCCUGCAUCACACUAUACUAGGAAUGCUGUUUCACUGGCCACAACAAAUGCUAAAAAUCCUUCUGGUUGGCAGGAUGCUCUACCAAACAUGAUUUCAGACUCAUAUGCUUUUCCAGCCCCCUCCCAGCCCAACAUGGGCAGUGUCACGUUAAACACAGUGGCUUCUCAACCUGAAGUGUACAGUCAGCCUAUUGUGCAGUCAAGUGAUGGUCAAAACAUAUAUCAGAAUCAAAGUCAAAAUUUUGUUGAUUCAGGUUUUCCUGAUUUUGACUAUGAUUGGAUUAGCAAUUUGAGUGAAAGCAGUCACCAAGUUUCAGCUGAAAAUAUUAAUCCUCGUGGCACGGGGUCCAACAAUGAACCCACAACUGUCGAGCAGUUUAGUUCCCAGUUUGCUGAAAGCACUGAUCUACACAAGGAUCAUGAUUAUGAGAGCUGGUUUUUUGGCCAAUCUGAUGCGGUCAUCUCAGAAGGUUGUGGGCCCGGUGAUCUGAACGCAUUUUCUCCUGAGCUUUCUGCUUUUGAUGCAGGCAUGCUUUGUUUUGAUUUUGAAACCUCUUUGAAUGGCCUGGCACGUGUGUAACCUCAAUUGCUAAUUGUGCUUAUUGAAGAGUAUUAAAGUUGGUUAAUUCUGCAGCCCUUAGCAAUUGGACAAAAUAAUUGCUAUCGGGAACUGAAAACAAGGGAGCUUUAAAAGUGUACAAUCAUUUAGACUACCAAGUAUACGAAUUAUCAUGGGACAAAUGAUUUUGUACAGAUGAUGGCUGUUACUUUAGUCUUAUAUUUUGUGGAUCCCAUGGUUAUGUUGUCGGUCACUCCCAUCCCCCAUGCCCUAAGGUUACAUGGUUCUCACACUUAUGGUUUGCUUGGCAAGUAUUGAAGACCUUUUCAAUACGUUUCUGUGCUUCCCAACUUGGAAGCUGCUUCAAAUCGUGGUAGUUGGCAAUUGGAAGUGAAUCUACCAGAGCCUUAUUUUCAUUGAUGUGGCUAUCUCAAGGUUUUGCAGGUCGUAAACACUAAUAUAUUCCAUUCUUUUAGCCUUUGGUCUACCGCUCAAACUUGAAUUUUCAUUUUUCAUUAACUGCGAUCUAAUUUAAACGAUGUUAAAUGGUACCGUUGGUAAAGUAGC